AGAUCCAUGACAAUUCUCCAGGAAACCAGUUGAAGCUCAUUACAUUUUGCAACGAAGAAUCCCUCCUCCCCUCCCAUUCCUCUCCCUUUCUCCUUCGGUUUCAAGCUCCGUGCUUGUUGGCCGUCAGUGGGAAGCAUUGUGUUAGUUGAGCAGCGGGAGAGCUGUCUCUUUUGUGUCGCAGCACUCCCUACUGAACAUGGCAGGAUACAUGGCAGAAAAUGGAGAAAGAUCAUUAUAAAGUACAGUACACCAACUGCAAGAUGUUACAACAGAUAUGGAAAAAGCCUGAUGGAAUAUUCCAACAUGUGCCACUCCAGGAAAGGAACUGGACAAUGUAGUCAUGCUCAAGGUACAGUAUGUCUGUGGAGGACCAGUGUGUAUUUGUGGCUCAUGAUGAACAUGGGAUCAUGAAUAGUAUGGCAACAGUUGAAUAGAAAGGACCAUCAUGAACAAUGAGCAGGCUGCAAAUGGUUUUGGGACACCAAUAAAUGAAGUAAUGACUCAUAUUUAUGGUAUUACUUGACUGAUUUAGCUCUAUCAUUUCUGCAUAUUGUUUGUAAACUGAGCAUUCUCCUUCCAGGUGCUGUUAAAGAACAUUCCAAGGCAGCCAAAAGAAAACACUAACAAUGUAGUGGAAUUUCUGCAGAAGGGGAGCUGUACUAACACUGUCUCAGGCCCUGAUGAGGCCACACUAUGGGAUGCGCGUUUCAAUAUUAUAAAAUUAUAAGAGAAGGUAAAAAGGUGAAUAGGAUAAAUUCACCAAUGUUUUCACUUGUAGUGGGCGCCUCAGUAGUGUAACCGUUAACACAACACUAUUACAGCUCAGGGCAUUCUCGAAUUCUGAGUUCAAUUCCGGCGCCAUUCUGUAAGGAGUCUUCCCUGUGGAAUACGUGGGUUUUCCCAGGUGCCCUGGUUUCCUCCCAUAGUCCAAAGACGUAAUGGGGAGGUUAAUUGGUCAUCGGAAAUUGUCCCAUGAUUAGGUUAGGGUUCAUCAGGGUUGAGGGGUUGCUGGGGCAGCAUGGUUCAAAGGGCCAGAGAGGCCUACUUCACACUGUAUCACUAAAUAAAUUAAUAAAAUAAAUAAACCCAGAGCUCAUAAAUGUAAACUGGUAAGGAUUUCAAGGAAAAUGUCCUUUAUCCAAAGAAUGUUAAGUGCAUGACUCACUAUGCCAAGGGGUAAUUGGGAAGAAUCAUAUUACAGAAAGAAGAAACAAUAUGGAUGAGAUAAAGAAAGGCAAGACAGAACUGUGGAAUACAAAUACUGACAUAAACUAAAUAGGGUGAAUGGCCUCUGCAAUACUUUGUAAUAGUGGAAUAUAUGAUUUGAAUUUUCUAAUAUCAUAAACAUUCAAGGAAAGUGACCCUUUAAGUCAGUCUGAACAUGCCCCUUUAGAAUUUGUGGUUGAGUUCUCAAAACACAGUUGGAGAUUAGUGCCUG